GCGCGGGCGCGAGGGCGAGCACCAGGGGAGGUGGGGAGAGGGAGAGAGGGGAAGAGAGAGAGAGAGCGUGCGCGGGGAGAGAGAGAGGGAGAGUAAGGGGAGAAAGAAAAAGAGAGAGGGAGAAAGAGAGAGAGAAUUUUACUAUUUAUAAAUUUUAAAUUUUAAAUUUUAAUUUUAACUUACAUAUUAUAUAUAUAUAAUUUUAUUUAUAAUGUAUAUUUCUUUAUUAUAUAUAAUUUUAUAUUUAUUUUUUGUAAGUUUAAAAUUUUAAAUUAAAUUAACAAAUUAAAAAAGCAAAAAAAGUUUGUUU
rnacentral:lncRNA from 1 species